AUGAGCCUUUUUUGGAGCUAUGUAUCUCUAAUGUUACAAAAUUUUAGUUCUGCAUGGCUUUUUGUGGUGCAAUCAUACGGUUACAAGUGGGCUUCUGAUGAAGAAUUCAGCUAAACCUUUCUACAGAGCACAGACAAAAUGUGCUUUUCAGUGUUGAAGAAAUACAGGCUUCCUUGUUUACACUUGGAGUAUUCUUUAAUGAAGACAAUCCUUGAGGACCCUACCCUGGUGCGCUCCUCGCCUUCGCAUAAGUGCCUCUGUGACCACCCCUUAAAGAGCAGCGCCAGGGAAGGAGGAAGGUACCAAGAGGCUGCCCAAAAUCGGAGCCCUUUUUUUGGCUUGAGUUCUACCCAGUCUAAAUCAGAAGAGCCCUCAACAUCUCCCUCUUGUGCCCUUCUCCAUGAGCUUAUCUGGAAACUCAAGUUUCUGUGA
rnacentral:lncRNA from 1 species